rfam:Neocallimastix californiae strain G1 LY90scaffold_689, whole genome shotgun sequence.
GUCAGUUUGUCCGAGUGGUUAAGGAGUCAGACUUGAAAUCUGGUGGGCUCUGCCCGCGCAGGUUCAAACCCUGCAGCUGACG